GCCUGGGUGGCUCAGUCGGUUAAGUAGCCGACUUUGGCUCAGGUCAUGAUUUCGUGGUCCGUGGGUUCGAGCCCCACAUCAGGCU
rnacentral:tRNA from 1 species